rnacentral:tRNA from 1 species
ACCUGGGUGGCUCAGUCGGUUGAGCGUCCGACUUCGGCUCAGGUCAUGAUCUCACAGUUCGUGGGUUCAAGCCCCGCCUCAGGGU